GGGCGAUUGGCUCAGUGGUAGAGCAUCUCGUUUACACCGAGGGGGCCGGCGGUUCGAGUCCGUCAUCGCCCACCA
rnacentral:tRNA from 1 species